GUAUCACGUCGAAAAACCGGUUCCCGUACGAUCACCGAAAUUAAGCAAUGUCGAGCCUGGUUAGUACCUAAAUGGGUAACCGCUUGGGAAUACCAUGUGUUGUAAG